AGUCUGGUGCCAGCAGCCGCGGUAAUUCCAGCUCCAAUAGCGUAUAUUAAAGUUGUUGCAGUUAAAAAGCUCGUAGUUGAACCUUGGGCCUGGCUGGCCGGUCCGCCUCACCGCGUGCACUGGUCCGGCCGGGCCUUUCCUUCUGGGGAGCCUCAUGCCCUUCACUGGGUGUGUUGGGGAACCAGGACUUUUACUUUGAAAAAAUUAGAGUGUUCAAAGCAGGCCUAUGCUCGAAUACAUUAGCAUGGAAUAAUAGAAUAGGACGUGUGGUUCUAUUUUGUUGGUUUCUAGGACCGCCGUAAUGAUUAAUAGGGAUAGUCGGGGGCAUCAGUAUUCAAUUGUCAGAGGUGAAAUUCUUGGAUUUAUUGAAGACUAACUACUGCGAAAGCAUUUGCCAAGGAUGUUUUCAUUAAUCAGUGAACGAAAGUUAGGGGAUCGAAGACGAUCAGAUACCGUCGUAGUCUUAACCAUAAACUAUGCCGACUAGGGAUCGGGCGAUGUUAUCUUUUUGACUCGCUCGGCACCUCACGAGAAAUCAAAGUCUUUGGGUUCU
rnacentral:rRNA from 1 species